ACAGUGCAUGCAAUCGCUUCUGCAUGCUUGUCUCGGGCCUUCAGUUGUCGUAGGUGCGGCACUCGUCGGUCUCGGGGUUGUCCUUGCAGUAGUUCUCGAGGGGGUCGGAGUUGGCCUUGAGCUUGUCCCGGGCGUGGCUGGCCGCCGCGCUGAGCUCCUCCACCUCGUCCCACGCGGCCGCGCACUCCCCGCUCACCGCGUCGCCCGAGCACGCAUCCUCCGCCUUCUUGAUGCUCUCCGAUACCUUGUCGGAGAUGUCGGGCGGAGUCGACGGGGCGCUCGCGGCGAGCACCGCGCGGCGCCGGCCACCGAGAAGCGGGAGGAGCCUCGCAUGAGGCCGCUGCGGCCUGGGGAGUUGUGCCUUCGUGGAGACCGCCCCUGUGGUGGAAAGUCUCACGCUGGAAGCAGCUGUUGCCGCC
rnacentral:lncRNA from 1 species